rnacentral:misc_RNA from 1 species
CAUGCAUGUCGCGACGCAUUGCGCGACCUUCGCACGCACAUCCGGCAAUGACGGUGACGCGCGCGGCAUUACGUGUUUUCUCGUUCCGGCGAAUACGAAGGGCGUGAAGAUCGAGGAAUAUCUCUGGACCUUNNNUCACCCGCGCGUCAGCUUCACCGAUGUCUUCGUGCCGGACGAUGCAUUGUUCGGCGAGGUCGGACGCGGUCUGUCGCUGGCGCAGUGUUUUGUGCAUGAGAACCGGAUUC